GAUGAAGCAAUAUGGAGAGGUCUUCGAUGCGUCAGUUUUAUUUGAAGUACUUUACCGCGACAGAAGGGUUGUCCUGGUUGGCUUGUCCGAGCGCGCCGCAGCGCUUAAAGAUGCUUGAAGAACUGAUGCAGUGGGAGGUGACUGCCUGACCUCGGAUUUCCGAAUUGCAGACAUCAUGUGUGACUGAGUAUUGGUGUUUAUCGCCGCGCCAGCAGAUAAUUCCUGCUGGCUUUUUUC
rfam:Citrobacter koseri ATCC BAA-895, complete genome.